rnacentral:misc_RNA from 1 species
GAUGAAGAACGUAGCGAAAUGCGAUAAGUAGUGUGAAUUGCAGACUUUAGUGAAUCAUCGAAUCUUUGAACGCACAUUGCGCCCGCCAGUAUUCUGGCGGGCAUGCCUGUUCGAGCGUCAUUUCAACCAUCAAGCCCCCGGCUUGUGUUGGGGACCUGCGGCUGCCGCAGGCCCUGAAAAGCAGUGGCGGGCUCGCUGUCACACCGAGCGUAGUAGCAUACAUCUCGCUCUGGGCGUGCUGCGGGUUCCGGCCGUUAAACCACCUUCAUAACCCAAGGUUGACCUCGGAUCAGGUAGGAAGACCCGCUGAACUUAAGCAUAUCAAUAAGCGGAGGA